rnacentral:rRNA from 1 species
UACAGAGGUCCCGAGCGUUGUUCGGAUUCACUGGGCGUAAAGGGUGUGUAGGAGGUUGGGUAAGUCUGAUGUGAAAUCUCACCGCUCAACGGUGAAACUGCAUUGGAUACUGCCUGACUAGAGAGCUUGAGGGGGAAUCGGAAUUCUUGGUGUAGCAGUGAAAUGCGUAGAUAUCAGGAGGAACACCAGUGGCGAAGGCGGAUUCCUGGAAAGCGUCUGACUCUGAAACACGAAAGCCAGGGGAGCAAACGGG